rnacentral:rRNA from 1 species
AGAGUUUGAUCAUGGCUCAGGAUGAACGCUAGCUACAGGCUUAACACAUGCAAGUCGAGGGGCAGCAGGACGAUAGCUUGCUAUUGUUGCUGGCGACCGGCGCACGGGUGAGUAACGCGUAUCCAACCUUCCCCUUAGUAGGGCAUAGCCCGGUGAAAAUCGGAUUAAUACCCUAUGUUGUGUCAUGAGGACAUCUGAAUAACACUAAAGAUUUUAUCGCUAAGGGAUGGGGAUGCGUCCGAUUAGGUAGUCGGCGGGGUAACGGCCCACCGAGCCCUCGAUCGGUAGGGGUUCUGAGAGGAAGGUCCCCCACACUGGUACUGAGACACGGACCAGACUCCUACGGGAGGCAGCAGUGAGGAAUAUUGGUCAAUGGGCGUAAGCCUGAACCAGCCAAGUUAAGCGUGCAGGAUGACGGCCCUAUGGGUUGUAAACUGCUUUUAUACGGGGAUAAAGUGAGGGACGUGUCCCUUAUUGUAGGUACCGUAUGAAUAAGGACCGGCUAAUUCCGUGCCAGCCGCAGC